rnacentral:rRNA from 1 species
UACGUAGGGUGCGAGCGUUGUCCGGAAUUAUUGGGCGUAAAGGGCUCGUAGGCGGUUUGUCGCGUCGGGAGUGAAAUCCACUGGCUUAACUGGUGGCUUGCUUUCGAUACUGCCAUGACUCGAGUCCGGUAGAGGAGUGUGGAAUUCCUGGUGUAGCGGUGGAAUGCGCAGAUAUCAGGAGGAACACCAAUGGCGAAGGCAGAUCUCUGGGCCGUAACUGACGCUGAGACGCGAAAGCGUGGGGAGCAAACAGG